GAAAGGGCCAUUUGAUUCCCUAAAGGGGUCUCAACCCAGAGGUUGAGCAGCGCUGUCCUAUGGCAUAGAUGAGAACUAAGAUCCACAUGUAUUAUCUUUGGGCCACCCUUCCUUUCUGCAAAGUCCUCAUCCUACCCCCAGACCCCCAUCAGUGAAGGACAAUGGAGGUGUUCUCACCAAAGGCAGUUUCCAGAUUAAAGGAUGGACCGAAUGGGAAGGAGUCAAAGCAAGUCGCCUUCAGUUACUCAAGAACUCCUCGGUGAAGGGCUCACGUGAUGAGACUCAGGCAAAUCAAACCACUAUUAUUUUCUUUUUCCUGUAAAAGGUUUUGACUACAUAAUGUAUACAUCAGUUCUGGGGCUAAAUUCUGUGGCUGUAAAUGUGUUUGCUCCCCUAGGUGCAAUGUCUGACUUUAGGAUUUCUGGCAGUAAAGGACGA